rnacentral:sRNA from 1 species
UAGGGCUAGUGACAACUAAGAUUGGCGGCGUUGUACGGGUGCAACCGGCUGCGGUUGCAAGGCUCCGAAGUAUGUGAAGUCCACUAACAAAAAGUCCAGAAACUCGCCAGUUAAUAGUAUUGUGU